rnacentral:misc_RNA from 1 species
ACAAAUUUCACACUCGUCUUUGAGGAGGUGUUGCCGAAAGCAACAUGCAUGGCCUUUUGGCUACGCUGUUGACAACGCUGGCGCCUCCUCAUAUACAUAGACAACAUUCACUUUUAUACUUGACACAUGAUGGAGAACCAAUUUGGUUAAAUGAAAAA